GUGAGCGAAGCGCAGAGAUUCGCUCGGAUCGAGAUGAAGGAAAGCUCAGAGAAGAGGAAGCGGCCCAAAGCAGACGAGGAAGAGGCUGACGACGGAGAACAGUCGAGCGGCGUGAGGAAGAAGAUCAAGGGCGGCUCGUUCAGAGGAAGAGCGAAGCGAGGACGCUGAGACUCUGCUGGAGUUUGCUUUAAUACAUCUAAUAAAUCAUGCAUUUUCCACA